rnacentral:rRNA from 1 species
UACGUAGGUGGCAAGCGUUGUUCGGAUUUACUGGGUGUAAAGGGCGCGUAGGCGGCCACCGCAAGUCGACUGUGAAAUCUCCGGGCUUAACCCGGAAAGGUCAGCCGAUACUGCGGGGCUAGAGUGCAGAAGGGGCAACUGGAAUUCUCGGUGUAGCGGUGAAAUGCGUAGAUAUCGAGAGGAACACCUGCGGCGAAGGCGGGUUGCUGGGCUGACACUGACGCUGAGGCGCGAAAGCUAGGGGAGCGAACGGG